GGCCCCCUGGUGGAAGUGGUAGACACAGCAGACUUAAAAUCUGCGGCCGAAUGAGGCGUGCCGGUUCAAGUCCGGCGGGGGCCA
rfam:Alpha proteobacterium IMCC14465 IMCC14465_3, whole genome shotgun sequence.